rnacentral:rRNA from 1 species
UACGUAGGUCCCGAGCGUUGUCCGGAUUUAUUGGGCGUAAAGCGAGCGCAGGUGGUUUAUUAAGUCUGGUGUAAAGGCAGUGGCUCAACCAUUGUAUGCAUUGGAAACUGGUAGACUUGAGUGCAGGAGAGGAGAGUGGAAUUCCAUGUGUAGCGGUGAAAUGCGUAGAUAUAUGGAGGAACACCGGUGGCGAAAGCGGCUCUCUGGCCUGUAACUGACACUGAGACUCGAAAGCGUGGGGAGCAAACAGG